rnacentral:rRNA from 1 species
AUACGGAGGAUGCGAGCGUUAUCCGGAUUUAUUGGGUUUAAAGGGAGCGUAGGUGGGAUAUUAAGUCAGCUGUGAAAGUUUGGGGCUCAACCUUAAAAUUGCAGUUGAUACUGGUUUCCUUGAGUACGGUACAGGUGGGCGGAAUUCGUGGUGUAGCGGUGAAAUGCCUAGAUAUCACGAAGAACUCCGAUCGCGAAGGCAGCUCACCGGGCCGGAACUGACACUGAUGCUCGAAAGUGCGGGUAUCAAACAGGAUUAGAUACCCUGGUAGUCCGCACAGUAAACGAUGAAUACUCGCUGUUUGCGAUACACUGUAAGCGGCCAAGCGAAAGCGUUAAGUAUUCCACCUGGGGAGUACGCCGGCAACGGUGAAACUCAAAUGAAUUGGCGGGG